UACGGGGGGUGCAAGCGUUAUUCGGAUUUACUGGGCGUAAAGCGCGCGUAGGCGGUUUUGUAAGUCAGAUGUGAAAGCCCAUGGCUCAACCAUGGACGUGCAUUUGAUACUGCAAGACUUGAGUAUUGGAGGGGGUGGUGGAAUUCCCGGUGUAGAGGUGAAAUUCGUAGAUAUCGGGAGGAAUACCGGUGGCGAAGGCGACCACCUGGCCAAAUACUGACGCUGAGGUG
rnacentral:rRNA from 1 species